GUGAAUCAUCAAAUUUUUGAACGCAAAUUGCACUCUCUGCGGAGAGGAUGCCUAUUUGAGUGUCAGUAUUAAUAAAAAUCGGUGUGUUGCUUCUGUGUGCCUCUCCGGUGUUUGGGUCAUCUUAAUAUCCUUUAGGUUUUAAGAGGCUUAAAAUUGACUUUUUUGGCGCAUGUUAGAUGUACAUAA
rnacentral:misc_RNA from 1 species